rnacentral:rRNA from 1 species
UGAGUCCUACGGGGCGCAGCAGUGGGGAAUAUUGCACAAUGGGGGGAACCCUGAUGCAGCGACGCCGCGUGGGCGAUGGAGUAUUUCGGUAUGUAAAGCCCUCUCGGCAUGGAAGAAGCUGACAGUACCUGACUAAGAAGCCCCGGCUAACUACGUGCCAGCAGCCGCGGUAAUACGUAGGGGGCAAGCGUUAUCCGGAUUCACUGGGCGUAAAGGGAGCGCAGGCGGCACGGCAAGCCUGGUGUGAACACCCGGGGCCCAACCCCGGGAGUGCAUU